CUUAACCAAGUAGCAUACACCCAAAAGGCUCAUCGGUGUGAUCUCAAAGCCUUCAUCUUCUCCAAAGCCACAUCUUCACGGAAGCAGAUCUAGGGCAAAAAAUGGAACGUUGAAGGGAGGGGUUUUGGACGUCAGCGAAUGGAAUGAGCUCCGAGGUCAUCCUCCUAGUCUUGAGCUGGAAUCUAUACUUCCUGCAAUUAUCAUCAAAGAAUGCCACUUUCUAUCAGUCUGGACAUGAAAAUAACUUAGACAAAGAUGAGCCUUUUGAAACAAUGGAAGAACUUGAAGCUCCUCACAAUAGGAAACCUUCUUCCUGAUGAUGAUGAUUUGCUAUCUAGUGUUAUUGGUGAUAUUGGAUUUGUUGGCCAAAUCAAUGAUAGAGUUGAUAUUGAUGAUGACAUAUUCUACCGUGGCGGAGGCAUGAAACUAGAAGUCGAUAAUAAUAGUGAUGCCAAUAAAGCUUCUGCACUUGUUGUACAAGCAGCUAAUGAGCAACUAAGUGGACCAAAUGGCCUAUUUUCUGGUGAACAUCCUUCAAGAACUCUUUUUGUUCGAAACAUUAAUAGAAAUGUUGAAGAUGCUGAGUUACGAGCUCUUUUUGGGGGGUGAGGUCAUUGGAAGUGGACUUUGAGAAGCAGAAGGUGGUGGUGGUGGUUGGAGACAACAUCACUCCAUUUGAAAUCCUAAAUGGUGUAUUAAAGGUUAAGUUUCUCACUCAGGCCAGAUCACGAGUGGUGAUACAGUACAUUGUUCUUAUGAUGACAACUCUCUUCAUAAUAAAUUGAGCCAUUGGAAGAAAAGUCUAGAAGUUUCUCACUCAGGCCAGAUCACGAUUUAAGUGAGCCGAAUAAGAGGAUUUAAUGUCGUGGAGGAGUGAAAUUCACAUAUAGGGAAGUAUCUUCAAAAUAUGAAUGUCAACCAUUUAGAGCUUAUCACUUGGACGUUAUUUGGACAAAAAAUGGAGCAAAAAUGCACACGGGAACAACUUCGAAAGAAAUCCAGUAUGGGUCGUGUAUGCCACACGGUCGUGUGGCCACCAUGCAAGUCCCUAUAUUUUCAUCAUCAACAACUUCAAUUCCUAUAAUAUCAACAGUGUCAACCAAAGUUUUGCAUCCAAAAUUUGCAGCAAUAAUAUCAUCAGAAUCAAAAUUUCCUACAAUUACUACAUCAUAGUGCAAAAAACUAGAGGAGUCUUAUAGAGCAAUGGAGUGUCAUAAGCUCUUCAAUCCAUCUUCUCACUGGUGUCUUAUGCUUAUAAUUGGCUGAUGGAUGAUGCAAUCUAAUCUAAUUGUAUUUGUAAGUCUUGUAUCCUUGUACCAUUUUAUUUUGGAACUAAGGGUCAAGAGUGGCUUGUUGUUGCAAA